GACAGAGGAUGCAAGCGUUAUCCGGAAUGAUUGGGCGUAAAGCGUCUGUAGGUGGCUUUUCAAGUCCGCCGUCAAAUCCCAGGGCUCAACCCUGGACAGGCGGUGGAAACUACCAAGCUGGAGUACGGAAGAGGCGAGUGGAAUUCCCGGUGUAGCGGUGAAAUGCGCAGAUAUCGGGAGGAACACCUAUGGCGAAGGCAGCUCGCUGGGACGUUACUGACGCUGAGACGCGAAAGCGUGGGGAGCAAACAGG
rnacentral:rRNA from 1 species